rnacentral:other from 7 species
AAUCCCCUGUCAUGUACGAGGUAGAGAGGAAUUUUUGAUCCAACACCAAUAAAAAAGGGAGCUAAUUAGUGGUUAUGGUGUGUAAGCCUGUCGUAUGCAGGAAACCUAAAGUAACCCGUAUGGUUCCCACCCUGGUUUACCAGGUUCAAAAUAUCCUUUCUAUACGGCAUAAAGAUGGGGGAUUA